rnacentral:lncRNA from 1 species
CCACAUCAAAACCACAUCACACGAGCUAGUACAAUCACAGGCAUCCAUCAAAAUGGCUUCAAGAAACACGGCUUUAUUCCUCGUCGGGCUGCUCCUCUCGUGCAUUGCCAUGAGCAACGGAGCAAGAAUCCUGGAGGAGAAGACGACUCCUUCCAAAGGCGAGGAGCACCUGCCGGAGCUGCCAGCGCUGCCCAAGGUCGAGCUGCCGCCGUUCCCGGAGGUGCAUCUGCCACCUAAGCCUGAACUGCCCAAGGUAGAGCUGCCGUCUUUCCCUGAGGUGCACCUGCCACCCAAGCCCGAGCUCCCAACGUUCCCAGAGGUGCACCUUCCAGCCAAGCCGGAGCUGCCUAAGGUGGAGCUGCCACCAAAGCCAGAGAUGCCCACCAUCCCGGGGUUCCACUUCCCGAAGCCGGAGGCUAAGCCAUGAAGAAUGUCUUCAGUUGUCUUCUCUUUGCUUGUGGUCCUACAUGUUCCAGUUACUCAUGUUGUGUCUUCCGUGUGGUUGUUUAGAUUUUUGGCGAGUCAUUUGUGUGCGUAUUGCAUCUAUUUAGAUGGAACGCACAUGUACAAAACAGAUGGAUGUUUACAUCAAUGUAUUUCCCUUUUAACGAAAAACAUUUGAAAAGUUUAGACUCUGCUCAACAUGCACGAUUCAUUCUAUCAACAAUUUUCACCAGAAGAUUGUUCGGGCUUGGCCGUCUAGGUGUGCUCCAAUCUCGCAGGACUUGGACGUGCUAGCUACCUAGCCAGUCACUAAUUUGUGGGCCGAGCGGGAGGUGGGGAUCCAUAUCGGGAUAAUUUCUCUGGUCGGUUCCGGUCGGCCACGACGACGAUGACGCCCGUGGGUGCCGAUUUUCUUCUUGGAGACGUCGUUCGGACCCGCCAUACCUCUUCCCACCUCACAGCUUCUCGGGUGAAACCCUAACCGCGGUGGGCGGCGACGACGUUCUAGGCGUUGUGUCCUUUCUGAAGGCGUCGCGUGAGAGCGUUGUGAUGGUGGGCACUGUUUGGGUUCAUUCGCAGGUGCAAAUGGCGUGCCCCUGGAAGGGCACAACUAUUCCGGGGGAAACCCUAGAUCUGGGUUUCCCGAAUCGGAUGAUGACGAAGACUGUGGUGCCGUUUUCCCUCCCGAGGGCAUUGUUUUGGAGCAGAGGUUCACUGGAGGGGCCAACAGGUCGAGCGGUGUUGCAUCUGCCGCAUUGAAGAUGGCGGGUCUCGACCGCGUGGAGCAAUCGAGUCUAGGCGUUAGACGCGGUUUGAUGGAUGCGUGCAGGCUGGUGGCGUUGUCUAAUGCCGUGGUGACGUCGGCGACAGAUGGGCCUGACAAGGUCUAUGCAACGAUCCCACCUGAAGAUGGGACGGUGGAAGAUGACGGUGGCGGUUCUUAGAGCGUGCGCAUGCGGUGCGCAUUGUGGGACGCCUAGACCGGUUGAUGCUCUCGGCUUGCCAGGCGGGCGGCUUAUUGAGGCCACUAGAUUAAGGUGUCCGUUGAUACGGCUAGGACAUAUCUCUAUACUUGUAGGUGUAGCGAUUUUGUUCGCCUCUAAGGUUGCUUUGGGUUGAUGUUUAUAUUUAUUUAAAAAUGGUUGCAUGCAUCAUUUGAUGCAGAGGCCGGGGAUAAUUCCCCUUUUUGAAAAAAAUAGCAAUAGAGAAAGCACGAAUGCGAGCCUCUCCUCGCUGCCGCAAUUUGCUAUGGGUCUGUUCCUCCUGGCAGAAGGGGUACACGUCAAGAUGGACACACCGCGGACCCGUUUCUUUUGCGAAGGAUCUGGACCAAAACGCAAGUACCACAUGGUUAAGUGGGCUGCGGUGUGCCGUCCCAAGGAUCUGGGAGGGCUUGGGAUCACAAACACCAGAAUCCAGAACAUUGCACUUAUGUGCAAAUGGAUUUGGAAACUCUCGCAGGGAGCGACGGGUCUAUGGGUUGACCUGCUGCGUGCCAAGUACUUCCCGAACGGGAAUUUUUUCGAGGGCGUGGCGAGGGGAUCUCCUUUCUGGAACGAUCUCCAAGCGGUCCGGCCAGCCUUCGCUCAGGGAGCCAAGUUCUCCAUUGGCAAUGGACGCUCGGCUCGCUUCUGGCUAGAUCACUGGGUGGGAGCCCAACCCCUCUGGGCCGAUUUCCAGAACCUCUAUACUCUGGCUAUCAACCCGGAGAUUACAGUUGCCACGGCUCUUGCCUCUUCCCCUCCGGCAUUACAUUUCCGGAGAGAGUUAUCGCAAGUAGAACAAGCACACCUAACGGAAUUGCUUGAUACCAUUGCGCCGGUUUCGCUGUCGUCGACGGAGGACACAGUCACCUGGGCCCUCACCCCGUCUGGCAAGUUUUCAGUCAAGUCUCUUUCCCGUAAGCUGUGCCAGGGCCCAUCCUUCCAGAUGCCAAAUGGCUUGUGGAGCGCGCGCCUUCCCCUUAAGAUUAAGGUGUUUUUCUGGCAACUGUUCCGUAAUAGACUGCCCACUUCGGCUAACGUCGCCAAACGCAAUGGGCCGUCGACCGGCCUGUGUGCGAUAUGUAACGUCCUGGAGGAUGCGACCCAUGUUUUCUUCCGUUGUCCACUGGCACGUUUUGCUUGGAGCACCGUUCGUGCAGCGGCCAACACCUCCUGGGAUCCCCGGUCAGCGUCUGACCUCGCUACCAUAGUAGACUCGAUACAUGGUGGCAACAACCGAGUGCUCUGGAGCUGUAUCGGCGCCUUGACCUGGGCAGUCUGGCUCACUAGAAACAAACUAGCUAUCGAGGGUAUCUUCCCAUCUCACCCUGCUAACAUAAUCUACAAAUGCAACCUUCUUCUGCAGCAGUGGAGUCCGUUGGCGAAGCGCAAGGAUGCUGAAAAACUGAAACAUGCCCAAGAUCGCCUCCGUCAGAUCUACGUUUUGGCUAGGGAGCCAUCUGCCACCUCUGCGCCGUGAAGUGGCCCUUUUGUCUUGCGAGCGAGCCUGCGUGCUCUAUGCUCUGCCUCCGGGCCUGUAUUUUGCAUUGCUGCGUGCUUCUGUUGGCCUGGUCUAAACUUGUGUGCCUUCGCGUCGUCGUGGUCUGAGCCUCCGUGCUCCUGUUUGAAACAUUUGUCUGAGCCUCCGUGCUCAUGUUCGAGGUCCUAACUGUGUCUGUUACGCUGCCUAUGUUGUGGGCUUUAUUAAAUUAAAGCCGGACGCUCCCAGCGUCUACGUUCUAAAAAAAAGAAAGAAAUAGCUUUUCAAUUCAUAUAAUGAUUCACGUUUGCACAUUUUGGUGCUGAUUUUCUUUUUUAUCUCUCAGUUUUGCCUCUUGCGAGAACCGAGGAAGUAUAUUCAUUGACUAAUCUGUACAGUCCAAACAAUAUUGUUAUCCAGCAAUCAUUUGACUAGUCCAGCUGUAUGGUUCUGUUUCAUAACUGCACAAAACUUAUUUCCUUGCCAUCUCCAAAAAUUUUCGGAAUUUUUGUAAUCUCUUCACUGAUUGUUAGUGGUGGUUUAGCAAACCUGGUAAACAUAGAAAACACUAUGUUCCUUGUUCGGAUUAGCUCAUAUGUUUUUCUUCUAACAAAAAGGCUAGCCCCUAUUAUUCAGUUCUCUUCACAUUCAAGCUGAAUAGUUUCUUGUUUCAUUUGAUGCCAUCAUCGUUUGAUGGGAAUGUGAUGUUGUAGCAUCCAUGAACAGCUUAAGAUUCUAUUAAUCUCAUUUAUUUCCUCAUUUGUUCAAUUUUCUCAGAUCAUAUUGUAAACGUACUAUUAAUGAUUUGGUCCUGCUGCUGUGGCCUCUGGCUUCUGUGGACUCCCACAACGAGAAGGUAUCCUUUUCUACUUAAGCAUUGCGGAUAAUAUACGUACUUGCUUGUCUUAAUUAUAAUAUACCCUUUGACAGAACAUUUGGUCUUCACAGCUAACCUAACAGCUGUAUGUGCUUGUACUGUCGUACCUACUACCCUGCACGCGGCAUCACGGUGUCCUCAACUACAACCUAAACAGCCAAACGUUGAGCAGAUAUAGACUCCAAAACGAAUUGCAUACAAGUAGAUGACCUAACCUGUUGCAAAGCUCCGGGCUCUUUGCGCAUGCUGCCUUCUGUACCCUAUAAGUAGCAAGUAGGAGCUGCUAUCUCUCCCACACUCAAAUCGCACUGCCCAGGCUAGCCAGUGCUGCAGCUGCACACGUCGAGCAAUAUGGUUUUGAAAAACUCCGCCGUUUUCCUCCUCAGUCUUCUUCUCUCAUGCGUUGCCAUGAGCGGGGCAGCGAGAAUCCUAGAGGAUACCGUUCCGUCCAAGGAGGAGCACCAGCCCGAGGUGCCAUCACUUCCCAAGGUGGAGCUGCCACCGUUCCCAGAAGUGCACCUGCCACCUAAGCCUGAGCUGCCCAAGGUGGAGCUUCCGCCGGUCCCUGAGGUGCACCUGCCAUCCAAGCCGGAGAUGCCAGAGAUGCCCAAGGUGGAGC